ensembl:lncRNA
GCUGGCCCAGCCUUUGAUUUGUCAGUGGAUUGUCAUUUAGUUAAGCGCACCUCCCGGUCCCCGUCGGGACUAACUAGGCAGACACACGCAGGUUGGUAUCCACUCCCUUCAGCCGUUAUGCACCGCCAUAAAGGGAGGGAUGUUUAUCAGGGACAAUUUUAAGUGGCGAAACCGGCCAUAGUUGAAUAUACACAGCGUUUUAUUAGCAAGAAACAGAUUCCGCUCUUACUACUUGAUUCCAAAAUGAAAUCCUACAUAGUGUUCUGUUUGAUAUGUAUGCUGCCUAAAAGUAUUUCUGCACAAGUUGCAUGCACGCCAACUACUGCGCCAGGGUCGGUAGCCAACGUUACGUCCAACUCUGUAAUACUACAGCUCCCAAACUGUUGCUUUAAUAAUAUCACAGGUGUGACUUGUAACCCGAACACAUGUCAGAUAUGGCUGGUGGCUUCACUGGAUACAGCGGCAGGCACUUUCGAUGCGGAUCAAUCCAAUCCGGGCUUUCUCAGCCUCUCCCCGUACCCAUCGGCUUUUCUUAACAACAGUUCUAAGAAUUACUUUCUGACCUCUGCUGGCUUGCUGAGUGCUUUGCCAUGCCCCUCCUCUACUAAGAACAACUUCAAAGUCGGAAAAGAUGGCCAGUGUUCCACCGCCAACUGCAAUGGAGUAUUACCUGUGGGGGCAGUCACCAGAUUCAAGUAUCUUCUUGUUGAUGCAGCUAACACAAAACUUCUGGCAGAGACACAGUGGUCUGACAGCAUUGCUCUCUACACCCCGAAAACCCCUGGAACCGGUGAUGGAUUUGCAGGAAGAUCAGGUGCUAUGGUCGUCAUCACAGCAAUUCUGUCUACUGCCAUAGGUCUUCUUUUGUUGCUCUUGCUGAUUGGCUGCCUGUUAGUAACCUGCUCUAGCGGGAAGACCAAAGAACAGAUCAGCACAUUCAGGGAAUCAUUCCGUAUCCCUCGCUAUGACACGCACAACCUGAAAAACCCUUCCCCAUAUGACAACCUCGCUUACGAGAGAGACACUAAGUACGCCACAGACGCCACCUUGCCUAAGACGGCAGCAAUGACCGUAGUGGUUGUUCCAAGCGAUGCAGAUAACAUCAAGAUGCAGAACAUAUAAUACGUGGGUACUUAAAGGGGCAGUUUGAUCCAAAAACACUGGUGUGGGUACCUACAAAUGGAAAUUAGCAAGGUGUGGGUGUCCCAGUGGCGUUUUGAUGAAACAACGCCUUUAACACAGUCAGAGGACUCCUGGUAAGCACAGUAACUCCUUUUAUUAUAGCAUAACCAAGUAAAGAAUGGUGUAUUGGGGCAUAUUAACAGAGGGGGGCUUGGGACAUGGUGGAAUAAGGAAAUGGUGUACAUGCUAGUAAAUGGAAAUAUACUUUACUGGAGCUGCAGACCUCAAAAUUAAAAUCAACAAAUAAAUAAAUAAUGCUGUGCAUUUUGUUU